UCGAAUGCCGUUUGCUCGCAGCGCCUUGGCCGGGCAUUCAGUGCAAGUCAACGUGGGGCGUAGGAAGGCGGGCGCUCGCGCCGUUUGUCGAGGUUGGAGCAGGUGGUUAACAUCCACCCCGCAAAGCCAAGCCUGAGAAAUAAAUCCCGAAAUAAGCCCUGGGAGGGCUGCAGCACGCCGCCGGAAAGCAUCUCCUCCGUGCAGGGAUGCCAGCUUGGCUCGACCGGUGCUACAGGAGGUUCAUCUUUUGAUGGAGGAAAUGCAUCCAGCCUUCUAGGCAGCAGAGAGGCGCUUCGGCUAUGGGUCCUCCUGCGAGAACACGGCUCCUGAAAGCAGUUUUGUAGAUGGUUUCAAAGCUCGUGGCCAGGAAGGAGUAACCAGAUGCUGCUACUGCGUGGGACAGAAAACCUGCCCCAGUUUCCCGCUCUGAACACAGACGCGGAGCCACGUGCAAGCCCCAAACCCAGAGCUGAACCCCAUUCCCUUCCCUCCCUGCUCUAACCCAGCCAU